GAUGAAGAACGUAGUGAAUUGCGAUAAGUAAUGUGAAUUGCAGAAUUCAGUGAAUCAUCGAAUCUUUGAACGCACAUUGCGCCCCCUGGUAUUCCGGGGGGCAUGCCUGUCCGAGCGUCAUUGCUGCCCUCAAGCACGGCUUGUGUGUUGGGCCUCCGUCCUCCUCCCGGGGGACGGGCCCGAAAGGCAGCGGCGGCACCGCGUCCGGUCCUCGAGCGUAUGGGGCUUCGUCACCCGCUCUUGUAGGCCCGGCCGGCGCUUGCCGACACAUCAAUCUUUUUUCCAGGUUGACCUCGGAUCAGGUAGGGAUACCCGCUGAACUUAAGCAUAUCAAUAAGCGGAGGA
rnacentral:misc_RNA from 1 species